GUAGUUGUGGCUGAGUGGUUAAGGCAAUGGACUAGGAAUCCAUUGGGGUCUUCCCCACGCAGCUUCAAAUCCUGUCAACUACG